AUCGCCUCAAUUAUGUAUGAGUACCCGCUGAACUUAAGCAUAUCGUUAAGCGGAGGAAAAGAAACUAAAUAGGAUUUCCAUAGUAACUGCGAGUGAACUGGAAUUAGCCCAUCACGAAAUCUUUAAUAUGAUAAUAUUAACGAAAUGUCGUGUAUAAGUAUUUAUCUGGUAAUAAUAUUAUUGAAUAAUUGCAUUUAAACAUGCAGCCACAGAAGGUGCCAGCCCUGUCGUUCUUUAAUAUUAUUAUCAAUUUAUUUACUUUAGAGUCGUGUUGCUUGGAAGUGCAGCGCAAAGUUGGUGAUAAACAUCAUCUAAGGCUAAAUAUCCCUAUGAAUCCGAUAGCGAACAAGUACUGUGAAGGAAAAUUGCAAAGUACUCCGGAGAGAGAGUUAAAGAGGACGUGAAACCGAUACGAUGGAAGCAUACAGAGCCAGUUGCACUUAUAAUAUUUUUAAUAUUAUAUUUAAGCAUGGGUAUAUUGAUAUUUUGUUAAUUGAUUAUUAAAGAGUAAUAUAAAUUUAUUUAUGUUGGCUUUAAUAAUUAAAUUCUCAUUAUAUUAAUAUUUUUUUUGUUGAUGGAUUAUUAUAAUAUAUCUAAUAUAUUAUUUACAAUGCACAUGUGUUUAGUAUUUAAUAUAUUUUAUAUAUUAUUUUAUAAGUUAACAUUCCUAUGUAAUCCUGGUAUGCUGUAUGUCCCGUCUUGAAACACGGACCAAGGAGUGUAUUGCUAUGGCAAGUCAUUAAUAUUGUUAAUAUUAAAGGCGUAAUGAAAAUAAUUUUAUCUCAGAUAAUUAUUUUUUAUAAUAAUUCGCAUGAGAGACGUGGAUAUAAGAUUUAUCUUUUUCCGCAGUUAUAGCCAUAGUAGUGCGACCCGAAAGAUGGUGAACUAUGCUAGCGCAGGGUAAAGUCAGAAGAAAUUCUGAUGGAAGCUCGAAGCGGUCCUGACGUGCAAAUCGGUCGUCUGACGUUAGUAUAGGGGCGAAAGACUAAUCGAACCAUCUAGUAGCUGGUUCCGGCCGAAGUUUCCCCCAGGAUAGCUGAAGCCUUAUACAGAUACAUCCGGUAAAGCUAAUGUUUAGAGGAAUAGGGAAUAACAUAUUCUUUAUCUAUUUACAAACUAUAAAUGGGUGUGAUAUUAUAAUUACUUAAUUGAAUUAUAAUCUCGAUUGUAUGGUUUCAAGUGGGCCAUUUUUGGUAAGCAGAACUGGCGACGUGGGAUGAACCAAAAGUGUCGUUAAAGUGCCUAAACUCUUGCUCAUCAGACCCCAUAAAGAGUGUUGUUUGAUCCUGACAGCAGGGCGGUGGCCAUGGAAGUCGGAAUCCGCUAAGGAUCGUGUAACAACUCACCUGCCGAAUCAAGCAGCCUCGAAAAUGGAUGGCGCUUGAGCAAGAUACUUAGACGAUACCAUUAAUUUAUAUAAAAAUUAAUGUGUAGGCUGGCGUGAUAAUAGCAUUGAAGAUUAUAAGCGUAAGCUUGAUUGGAGCUGUUAUUAGUGCAGAUCUUGGUGAUAGUAGCAAAUACACAAGUGAGAAUCUUGUGGGCCGAAGUGGAAAAGGGUUUCACGUCAACAUCAUUUGACUGUGAGUUAGUCGGUCCUAAGCUAACUACGAAAGUACUUUUAAAUUUAGCGAAAGGGAAAUAGAUUAAUAUUUCUAUACUGUUUACGGAGAUAUAAUAAGUAAAAUUAUUAUAUGCGUGGUAACACAAAUGAAACUAACUACGGUUUAAUAAGUUUUGGGUAGAGAUUUCUUCUCUAUUUAAGUUAUAAAAUCCAUGNGUAAAGCUAAUGUUUAGAGGAAUAGGGAAUAACAUAUUCUUUAUCUAUUUACAAACUAUAAAUGGGUGUGAUAUUAUAAUUACUUAAUUGAAUUAUAAUCUCGAUUGUAUGGUUUCAAGUGGGCCAUUUUUGGUAAGCAGAACUGGCGACGUGGGAUGAACCAAAAGUGUCGUUAAAGUGCCUAAACUCUUGCUCAUCAGACCCCAUAAAGAGUGUUGUUUGAUCCUGACAGCAGGGCGGUGGCCAUGGAAGUCGGAAUCCGCUAAGGAUCGUGUAACAACUCACCUGCCGAAUCAAGCAGCCUCGAAAAUGGAUGGCGCUUGAGCAAGAUACUUAGACGAUACCAUUAAUUUAUUAUUUAAAAAUUAAUGUGUAGGCUGGCGUGAUAAUAGCAUUGAAGAUUAUAAGCGUAAGCUUGAUUGGAGCUGUUAUUAGUGCAGAUCUUGGUGAUAGUAGCAAAUACACAAGUGAGAAUCUUGUGGGCCGAAGUGGAAAAGGGUUUCACGUCAACAUCAUUUGACUGUGAGUUAGUCGGUCCUAAGCUAACUACGAAAGUACUUUUAAAUUUAGCGAAAGGGAAAUAGAUUAAUAUUUCUAUACUGUUUACGGAGAUAUAAUAAGUAAAAUUAUUAUAUGCGUGGUAACACAAAUGAAACUAACUACGGUUUAAUAAGUUUUGGGUAGAGAUUUCUUCUCUAUUUAAGUUAUAAAAUCCAUGAAAAUUGCUCAGCAAGAGAUAUGGAUGUAGUAACGCAGAGUAUUAACAUUUUGUUGAUAUCCGAAGUGCUUAUUAGAUCACUUAAAAAGUUAGUGAAAGCAUAAUAAAUUUCGUAAUACAUCCGUACCCAUAUCCGCAACAGGUUUCCAAGAUGUCUAGUCUCUGGUCGAUGAAAUAAUGUAGGUAAGGGAAGUCGGCAAAAUAGAUUCGUAACUUUGGGAAAAGAAUUGGCUCAUGGGAUAUAAAAAGCCGGGUAAUAAGAUUGAUGGUUAAUUUUAAAUUAAAAUGGAUACUAGCAAUAGUUAUUUGAUUUAAUUUAAUAAUUAAUUAUUAACUUAUUAUUGAUAACGACUUUUAUUUAAUAUAUCAACCAUGAACUGGCACGGACAAGAGGAAUCCGACUGUCUAAUUAAAACAGAGGAGACAGAUGAUGUGUGAACAUGUAGACUGUGUCUGAUUUCUGCCCAGUGCAAUGAAUGUUAUCAUUGGGAAACCAAUUGAAGCUCUUGUAAACGGCGGGAGUAACUAUGACUCUCUUAAGGUUUAUAAAACCCAGUUUGAGGUUUUAUCCAUUUUAGAUCCACACCUACAAAUAGGUGGCUACAAAUUUAGUCUAGGCAACAACCAACUAAAUUGUAGUGACCUGGGUCGUAAAUAGAUAAGCCCUCAUACUCGGUCUGUAUACGACUUGCAAAUAGGUGACCGAGCUGGUACAGCAGCGAUUGAAGGAAACCUCACUCUCCGAUGAAUACGAAAAAGCAUGAUUUAGCUUAUAACAAUGAGAGUAGUCUAGGCGUCAAUGGGGUUCUCCUACACGCCAUCACAAACGAAACCUUAUCCAACGUCCAAUCCUUCGAUUGUUUAGGCCGUCCUGCGGCUGAAGAUAACAAUCGAAAGGUACGAAAACCUACAAAGAAGGCAGACGUAUCACGAUGGAGCAACGAAGUGAAAACUAGGCUCGAGUGUUUCCUUACUUUAGGAAGCACUCGGCUGCGAAAAUUUUCACGAAAUGGCACAUUAUUGGUAAGUUGGACACAAUUUUCCAAAGAGGAAAUAGAACAAAUAGCUGUUGCUGUAAUGGGAAAGACCAUUACAGCGAAAACGUUUCGGGAAAAUGUAGCAAGAUACAUCACUGAAGAACGGACAGACUAUGUGGAAAGACUUAAGGAUGUCUCCCCAGGGCGUAAGUCACGCCCCGAUGGAGGCAUAUGGGUAGCUAACAAUGAGAGAACUAACCCACCUCACCUUAAGUACAUAUUGGACCAAAUAUCUAAAAAGAUACCAAUCGAAACUAAAGAAAAUGCACCAACAGUGCACAGUCCAGAAAAGAAGCGCAGAAAACUUGCUUCUGUAAACACAAUAUCGGAAUUAACGGAACUCGAUAGAUUAACAUCCGUUACCCCAACAACAACAAGGAAACGAAGCAUAAGAGUGCUAAGCAGACUUGACAAUCCAACUCACACGAACACAUCGGUCCUAGUGAGUCCAGAAAAAGGUACAAGGCCCAAACAAGCCAAGAUAAAUCCAAACACAAGUAAAGAAGUACAUCCAGUACCAAAUGAAAGUGAAACGCUAGAAAUAGCACAGAGACAACCAAAUAACCAAGAAAUUGGAAACUUUACACAACCAAUAGCUGAAAGAGCUGUGGACGAAACAAUCUUAGACAAUAUCUCAAGAGAACGUCAAGAUGUAUCAAUUGUGCCCCGAACUAAAGGGAAAUCCAAAAGACAUGAAACUGAGAGUAAACUAACAUCUCAAGAAAAAGUUGACAUGCGGCGGAAAAAUAGAAUAGGUACACCAUAUGGUUUAACUAUCCCGCUAACAAAGCAUACCAAAAAAGCAAACGAGCUUGAAGGAAAAACAACUGAAGAACGUUUCAUACACUUUAUGAACCAACAAAACAUGCCAAAAUGUCAGAGAUGGGACAACACCAAAAAGGUGCCCAUAGUUGAAAUAAAUCAUAUAGGCGAAGUACAUUUGAAACCUUUAAUUGCAAAAUUAAUGGAUCCUAAAUGCACACAAGCUACAUAUGAAGAAGUCAACAAACAAUGGCCAAAGAUAGCGAUAGCUAUGAUGUUAACAGCACAAUCAUACGUUUACAAGACGAACAAUGCACAAAAAUGCGCAUUCUCGAAAGCUAUACAAAAGCGAAAAAGGGCAGAACGCCAACUAACUAAGAUGAGUAAAGCUUGGAAAAAUCGACAUAUUGCAACGAAUAAAUCGACUGCUAUAUUGGCGAAGAUAAGAAUCAAGGCUAAAAAUCACAAAAUUAGCCCAAUAAGCUACAUAUCUCGUAUGAACGAAAUAGUAGCACAAUUUAAAAAUAAGGAAAAGAUCGAAGCUAAGAAAGCUCUAGACCGGAAGAUAAGGUAUAUGUUUGAUAAAUCCGGUUCGAUCAAAACUGUAUUCAGAAUGCAAGAAGGCACGACACCAAAGGUUCCUGUCGAUGAAGGUGAAGCGUUUAAGUUUUACAAACAAUUGCAUACCGUAAAACCAACACCCAAACCUCUUGCAAUUAGUGAAUGGGCUGAAACAUGGCAACAUAGACCCAUAACACAUACGAUGGUGCACGUAAAUGAAUUCUUAACAUCAAAGUUAAAACACAGUAGUCCUUUUAAGACGCCAGGGCCUAAUAUGGUAUACCCUGCCGCAUUUAAAAGAUUCAAAUCAUUAGCCAAAUUACUAGAAGCCAAAGUAAAUGGCCUUCUGACAGGUAAGUUCACAUUGACAGUACAAGAGAUGACUGCCAAAGCCUUCCUGUUACCUAAAACUAAGAUACCAAGUACAGAUCCAUCCGACUAUAGAGCGAUAAACUGCAUAAACGCAGAUAUCAAAUAUGUCAAUGCUGUAACGUACGAAUUUAUCUACCACAAUAGUUUUAAAUAUCUAGCAGUUAAUCAGUCAGCCGCGUUUAAAGGCUUGCCUGGAACACUUCAUGCAAUGAUGGUAAACAAUGCAAUAUUGAAGCAACACAAAAAGUCGACGAGUGUUCUCUACGUGGACAUGAAAAAAGCAUUCGACUCCGUGUCACAUACAUCCAUAAAAAUGGCUGUAAGUGCUCUAAAUAUCCCAAACUCAAUAAAAACAUAUAUACACGAUAUGUUAGGGAAAGGAGGCUUCACCAUAAGCAAUAGCAAAACAUCACACAGAUCCAAAAAUCAUCGUGUAGAUGUACAACAAGGUGUAAUGCAAGGUUGUGCACUUGCUCCUUGCCUAUUUGUCAUUGCUAUGGAUAUCAUUAGUUACCAGUUAAAUAAAAUGGACAAACUAGAAAUUGGAAAAGAAAUAAACACUUUACCAAACAAUUUCGCGCCACUACUUAAUAAAAAAUUUUCCCUGGGAAAAAAUGAAUUAACAACCCAUAGUGGACUACCAUUCGCGAUAUAUAUGAAUGAGCAAAAGGACUCAUUAAGAGAUAAAAACAUAUCUGUACCUAAAACAGUUACAGAUGACGUACACUUAGACCGAAGAGCGGAAAACCGUCUCAUAAAUCAUAUAUCGUUCGUAGACGAUGUAAAAAUAUACGCAAAAAAUAAUUCGACAUUACGGACCAUGAAGAAUAUUUUUGAAAGGGUCGCUAAGCAGCUAGGGCUACACGUUAACGCAAAAAAAUGCGGCGUCGUAUAUAAUAAGGUAAGUGAUGACAAUGCCCGAUUAGAGGACAUUGAAGAGUUGGAAGGUUGCUACAAAUAUCUGGGUAUCCCAGAACUAGGUAGAUCUGUCAGCGUGGAGCAAAUCCAAAGUAAUCUUGAAGACAAGAUUAUUAAAUGCGUAUGCAAAGUGUUUAGUACAAAAAUGAACAUUGGGCAAAAAAUACGUUGGUAUAACUCUUCCAUAGCGCCGGCAGUGGCAUAUGUAGUCACACAUGCGCUACCAGCAACAAGGAAAAAAGGACUUAUAGCAAUGUGCGCAAGGUUAGACACAUUAGUAGGUAAGAUCUUAGCCGGGGGAAUCUCAGGAUUCGAGACAAUUGAGGUAAGGCAAAUGACAACUGCUUUACCCCGUCUCUUUUGUUCUCAUACCAAAGGUGGAUUGGGGCUCACAUCACUCAAGACUGUCGCUUACGAAUCGACAGUCCGUCACAUGAUGUCCCUUUGGAUGGAACAGGCAAAUAGUCAGGUGAAAGGACUAUAUGUCGAGACGGAGCUGAAGGGAGGAAUGACUACCCCCAUAAGCCAAUUCAUGUACGUCAUGAAAGAACUGGGCAUGACAGUACAACUUCUCGAUUCCGGGAUUAAAAUAGAUAACGUUUACUACGGACUGGUAAACCAAGGUACAAGAGAUGUGGCAAAGUUGAUUCGCGAAAAACGUGACAACGAAAUGUACCAAAAAUGGACCAAGAACUUAGAUUUUGCGAAAAUGUUCGAUGAACUAAAGUUAGAGAUGCCGUGGCUUAAAAAGGCAGCGGUAUCAGACCUACAAGCAAACAUCAUAAUGUCUAGUCAGCAACAGUCGUUACCAGGACUAAAUUGGCAUAUACAACAAAGACAAAGUACACCUAUCAAAGUAUGUCCGUUGUGCCAAAAGGUAUUAACUACAAGCCACAUAAUCAGUGGCUGCAGUAGCAAUACAGCCUCACUUAAAUAUACUACGCGACACGACGCAGUUCUUGCGAGUGUUACUAACAGUAUCCUAAAAUCCAUCGGAGUAGGAUUUAAGAGCCUAGACGAGCUCAGAAAAUUAAGAGAGGACGAUAUAAUAGGUAAAGACUGGAGCAUCAGUUUCGAUACCCCACAAAGAGUUUCAGUAGGAAACUGGCGCGACGAUGAUGUAGCUAUGGCAACUAAUAAUGACCAAGGCUGGGCAACCCACAUAGCACAUAAUCGUCCCGACUUACUCCUCCUGAAUCAUACUCUAAAAAAGGCGGUACUAUUGGAAGUGGCAAUAGUUGGUAACCCCAAAUCCAUCGAAAAACAGAUGGAAAUAAAGCGUGUGCGAUAUAUGAAAAAUUCGCAAGAAGUAAUUGGCCCCGACAAUUACGAUAAGGUAGCAGCGGCAUACAAUAUGCAGCUUCACCUACACAAAAAAUAUGGGGAAGAUUACACGGUAAACUUCGUACCGUUCGUAAUAGGUUCAUACGGUGAAAUAAUACCGGGAUUCAUAAAAGACCAUAUGAAUCCGCUUACUGCAUUAAUGUCAGAGGAGCAGAUAAAGGCCACGGUUGCAAGUGCGUCAAGAAUAGCAGCCGUGCACACAGUUUAUGUGAUUAGGUACUGGCUGAGUCUGACUAGAAACUAAACGAGCACUCAGGACACACUAAAUUGGGUCGCGAAAAAUAAAGAGCGAGUCAUAGUUACUCCCGUUGGUUGGUAGGUACUAAGCUCUCUUUAGUGUAGAAUGAGAAGGAGUUUAGUGAAAGGUUAGACGAAGUCGUGCACCGAGUGGGCAUUUUCCGGCGUCGCAGUUGGCAGGGCGGUGAAGACAGUAGGCAGAGGAACCUUCACGGAAAAUACCACAGAUAAAAAUCAGAUGUAGCAAAUAACUCAUAACGGUAUCAGUAAAACCCAACUGAUACCGUUAGUUGCAUAACUCAAUAGUGCCAAAGUCUUGGCAAAAAACUAUUAAAGUAGUCUAUUGACUACCUCCCUUAUUUUACAGUCCCUUGUCGUAUUAUGUAUAGUCCGUGUCUAUUUUUCUUUAAUUCGCGUUUAACAUAGUAUUAAUCGUUUUAAUUUCAGGUGAUAACAUGGCUAAAGCAAAUGCUAAGAAGAGCUCUAAGGCUACCAAGCCAGAGCCAAAAAGCACGAAAGUGCAAAAGAAGGGGUCGACCAACAACAAAACUCCUAAAAAAGUUGUUGCGUCGACAAGUAACCAGGUAAAUGGUGACAAUGAACAGAGGGGAAAGACCCUCUACACAUUGCCACCAUAUCUUAUUUAUGGACCAGGCGUCUUAGCUGAAAAGCUGCCACUUUCGAAGGUGAAGGCUCAACUUACGUUGGGCUCAACCGACGCAAGUGGUAAAGAAGUGUGGAAAAUAAAUCGUGAGUUGUUUGUAGUUGUUUCGGCAACUGCAAACAACGAGCAGGUAUUAGAAAGGUACAAACCCACAAGGGUCCAACCUUUAAGAUUCCAGACCAUAAAAUUUAUGGAUGGACUCACCAAGGCCGCAGUGAUGGUCGUCAACACUGUUAAUAGUGUUGCCGAACAGAUCUCGGCCUUGGCUGAUGCCUUAGAUUCCGAAACUACCACUCCGGAAGAGACUGCACAAAAAGCGCAGUUUCUGAGAGGUACGUUGAAUGACCUACGCCAACUAACGAACCCUAUCCGUAAGGAAGGUUUACAGCGUAGGUUAUUCGACGUACGAACUGAGAUUUACAAGGGAGAUCCCGCGUUCAUCUCAGACUCUCUGGCUGCCAAAACAAGCAGUCUAUCCAUCAUGGAGGAGUAAGUGGUAGUUUCGGACCUGGCGAAAUGGAUUGUGUUCCGGUUUCUGUGACCCAUGUGGGACUGACGUUGAUCUGAUAUCAAGGUCACAGCACAUUGGGAAGAGCAUUGGGCCAAAACGGCCUAGGCGUAUUCACAUAUCGAAGGAUAUGUGAAUACGCACAAACACAGAAACAAGUGGUACUGAUGCUCCGAUUCGGUACCACCCAUGCACAUCCAUCGAGGUAGAUCUUGUGCGUUUCUACUGGGGUAUUUAGGAGCGUGAAACAAGCUCCUAAUAAGAAGACUAAUUAAAUAUAUAAUAAUAAAUAAAUAAUUUAAUUUAAUUUAAUUAAUUGUAAGUAGGAAAGCCGAAAGUUUGUGAUGGUGUGGAAGCGAUUACUUUAUAAACGUUUAGAACUCUGAUGUGUUAAGCAUCCGGGAACUGAAACAUAAGAGUAUCGCCAAGCAUAAUCUUAAGACCUAGGUAUUAAUAAUUUUUAUUGUAAAUGUUGGAUUAUUGUAAUUAACUAGUUGGCAUAAUAAAAUUAAGACCUUGGUCUAAAAAGUGCUUGGCAAAUGAUGAUACUCAGUGAUGUUGAUAAUUAACAAUCAAUAUUUUAUGUUUGAUGUUUCGCGCUUCCAAGACUCUCUUAAGGUAGCCAAAUGCCUCGUCGGGUAAUUUCCGACGCGCACGAAUGGAUUAACGAGAUUCCUACUGUCCCUAUCUACCAUUCAGCGAAAUCACAGCCAAGGGAACGGGCUUGGCAAAAACAGCGGGGAAAGAAGACCCUGUUGAGCUUGACUCUAGCUAGGCAUUGUGAAGUGUCAUAUGAGGUGUAGAAUAGGUGGGAGUAAUUUUAUUACGAUCUUGAAAUACCACUACUUAUAUCGAUGCUUUACUUAGUUGAUUAAAUGGAACUGUUAUAUUUUAUAACAUUUCUUGUAUUAAAUUAUAUCUUCGAGAUAUUAAUAAUCCACGUCAAUGAUCGUGUCUGGCGGGGAGUUUGACUGGGGCGGUACAUCUAUCAAACUGUAACGUAGGUGUCCUAAGGCAGACUCAGAGAGGACAGAAACCUCUCGUAGAGUAAAAGGGCAAAAGUUUGCUUGAUCAUGAUUUUCAGUACGAAUACAGACCCUGAAAGGGUGGCCUAUCGAUCCUUUUGUAUUAGUAUGUUUCUAAAAAGAGGUGCCAGAAAAGUUACCACAGGGAUAACUGGCUUGUGGCAGCCAAGAGUCCAUAUCGACGUUGCUUUUUGAUCCUUCGAUGUCGGCUCUUCCUAUCAUUGCGAAGCAGAUUUCGCCAAGCGUUGGAUUGUUCACCCACUAAUAGGGAACGUGAGCUGGGUUUAGACCGUCGUGAGACAGGUUAGUUUUAUCCUACUGUUGACUUUUUGUUGUUGAGAUAGUAAUCCAGCUCAGUACGAGAGGAACCGCUGGAUCAGCUAAUUGGUACAUGACGUUACUGGAGACAGUAAUGCGUCGAAGCUACCAGCUGCAGAAUUAUGACUGAACGCAUCUAAGUCAGUAUUCUGUCUAGUCAUGUCAACAAUAUUUUGCUUCAAUUUUGUUAUUAGGCAACAUUAUAUCUUUUUUUUAAAAAGAUAGUUUAAGCCUCACGUUAUGAUUUGUUUAUAAUAUUAAUAAAUAUUAUAAAUAAUAGUAUCGAAACAUCGAUGUCAGGUUGAGGUGAAAGUGAGCUUGUAUACGACUAGCUAGCUGGACCAGGGGGUGUAAGUAGCAGAGCAGGUCUUUCCUGCGAUCUACUGAGCCUUAGCCUUGUGUUUGGUGUCACUGU
rnacentral:rRNA from 1 species